rnacentral:misc_RNA from 1 species
GAUGAAGAACGUAGUGAAAUGCGAUAAGUAGUGUGAAUUGCAGAAUACAGUGAAUCAUCGAAUCUUUGAACGCUCAUUGCGUCCCUUGGUAUUCCAUGGGGCAUGCCUGUUCGAGCGUCAUUUGUACCUUCAAGCUUUGCUUGGUGUUGGGUGUUUGUCUCGCCUUUGCGUGUAGACUCGCCUUAAAAUAAUUGGCAGCCGGCGUAUUGAUUUCGGAGCGCAGUACAUCUCGCGCUUUGCACUCAUAACGACAGCGUCCAAAAGUACAUUUUACACUCUUGACCUCGGAUCAGGUAGGGAUACCCGCUGAACUUAAGCAUAUCAAUAAGCGGAGGA